UGCCAGCAGCCGCGGUAAUACGGAGGGUGCGAGCGUUAAUCGGAAUUACUGGGCGUAAAGCGCGCGUAGGCGGUUUGGUCAGUCGGAUGUGAAAGCCCCAGGCUCAACCUGGGAAUGGCAUUCGAUACUGCCUGACUAGAGUAUGGUAGAGGGAAGUGGAAUUUCCGGUGUAGCGGUGAAAUGCGUAGAUAUCGGAAGGAACACCAGUGGCGAAGGCGACUUCCUGGGCCAAUACUGACGCUGAGGUGCGAAAGCGUGGGGAGCAAACAGGAUUAGAUA
rnacentral:rRNA from 1 species